rnacentral:rRNA from 1 species
GAUGAACGCUGGCGGCGUGCCUAAUACAUGCAAGUCGAGCGAACAGACGAGGAGCUUGCUCCUCUGACGUUAGCGGCGGACGGGUGAGUAACACGUGGAUAACCUACCUAUAAGACUGGGAUAACUUCGGGAAACCGGAGCUAAUACCGGAUAAUAUAUUGAACCGCAUGGUUCAAUAGUGAAAGACGGUUUUGCUGUCACUUAUAGAUGGAUCCGCGCCGCAUUAGCUAGUUGGUAAGGUAACGGCUUACCAAGGCAACGAUGCGUAGCCGACCUGAGAGGGGGAUCGGCAACACUGGAACUGAGACAGGGUCCAGACUCCUACGGGAGGCAGCAGUAGGCAAUCUUCGGCAGUGGGCGAAAGCUUGACGGAGCAACGCCGCGUGAGUGAUAAAGGUCUCCGGAUCGUAAAACUUUGUUAUUGGGGAAAAACAAAUGUGUAAGUAACUAUGCACGUCUUGACGGUACCUAAUAAGAAAGCCACGGCUAACUACGUG